UGGUUAGGAUUGUGGUCUCUGAGAUGAGGAAAAUUUGCAAGAAUCCAACCAAACACAACACCACAGAGAUUGCAAGAAGGAUGGUGGCCAGAUACCCAAAGUCUCUUCAAGAUGUGAUUGAAGGUGAUGUUAUUGGACCUGGAUAUGAAGCAGCUCCAGUCAAGAGUCGUAAAUGUGAAACGACCUGACACAUUGAAGACAAACGCAAAGUACCAUGAGAUGAUGACACAGAUGAAGUAACUGCUGAACAAAGAGCAAGUGUUCAAGAUUUGUAUGGCUGCAUCAACUGGGAGCCAAAAUACUUACCACUCCCUGAGACUUUGGAGAGUCAGCUACAAAAAAAACAACAGAUGAUAAAGAUGUUUGAGUCGGUGAACUACAAUGCUGAUGCUGUAAAAGAACUAAUCAAGUCCACAUACUGUUUACAGCACAAGGAGAUCAAUAAAGGAGUAAGCAUCCAGAAAUUAUGCCAAGAUUGGCCCUUUUUGUUUCAGGAAGUUGGAAUGGGGGCCACUUCCAAGAACUGACUGGCAUUAAUUUGAUGGAGACCUUUCUUACUAAUGUGGACAAAAAGGGGUCACGCCUCUUAAACUUCUUCAAGUGCAUUGAUACACAUAAACGUAAACGAGUACUAGAUGCUCUUCUCAAGCAUCAAACUGAGAGUGCUCGGUCCACAGGCUGCUCGGAUGAAAUCCUACACAUGGUGCUUCUCUUACUGGCUCACUUUAAUGAGAAGGAAGAGAACCUGUUUUGUUUUGUGGGGAAGACGAGUCUUGUGGAAGAGGUUGAGAUGCAGAAGGUGCCACCAACACCCUGCCUGAUUGUGUGUGGGUCCUCAUGCUUUGCUGCCGAGACGUUCAUGUUGAGCAUCGACCGAGAGAUACUCAACAACCACAUCACUUCCUUCACGCAUGCCGUCUGAUGUUUGGCAGUUAUCACUGCUUUAAGGUGCUUCUUUUCAAUAAAUCCAGAGAAAGGCAGCAAAGUUCAGUGGACAAAGAGAAAGGUGUUUGCAGUAAAUCCCAGAGUGUUUCCUCUGAUCUCGGAGCUUGCAAACCAUGAGUGGACCUACCAGUGAGAUGGAGGAUGAUGAGAACAGACUCAUCCGCUCCGACUCCAUCCCGGCAUACUCCUCUCCACUAUUUUCUUCAUCCUCCAUCACUCCCUCACCAACGUCAUGGACAGCUGACAUCAUUACCCCUGGAAGUUGAUGUCCACUUUCCCCAUGCUGAUGAGAAAGCUACACUGAAUAAUAACACUAAAGUACUGUGGACUUACAGCUAAUGCAUAAUUCAUGGUGACGGAUUCAUUCUUCUUGUUGAUGUGAUUUGAUUGUUAGAUUUGUCCUAAAAAGUACACUUAAAUGUUCUUAGUGGAAAUGUUUUUUGGCUAAUGUUACUGUAAAGAGUUAUGUAUAAGGACUCCUUCCAGUUAGAUAUAUUUCUCUUUUUUUCUUUCAAUGCGAGAACUGACACUUUAAUUCUCCUUCAGGGAUGAUCUGUUUCUCAUGAUGUGAAAAUUACAGUGUAUGUAGAGUACUCUGGCAUCACAACUCGGCAAGACUUGUCCUAAAAAGUGAGCUUAAAUGUUAUUAGUGUAAAUGUUU